UGGCAGACAUGAAGAAGGGAGAAGAGUGGAUGAACGACUGAAGAAAAACAGCAAUACACAAACUGGGCACAGAGGAACAACAAUGAGACGACUAUGAGGUCACUGAAUCUGCUGGAGGCAGCAGUCAAAUCUACUUCAAAUCACCAACCUGACCAUCUACAAAAAGAGAAAGACACUUUGGAAAAUGUAGUCUAAGAUAUGUCUAAAUAGAUGGGAUAGUCAUGACUGGAAUGUCUGAUCAAUGGUCUACUCAUUCAGCACAUGCCUCUGGCUAACCAGCAACAACAAUAAGGGAAAAUGUGUGGUCGUUAAACUUGCUAGAAAUAGCAGCCAAAUCUCACUGGAUAUUAAACCCUACUAUUUUAAAAGAAAGGAAGGAAGGACAUGGGCAAAGUGAUCCUCUAUAUACAAUAAAAUGAGAUGGUCACGGCUAGAACACCUUCAAACAUUUGUCAGCUUGUUCAGAGCAGACUUGAGUCUUAACAACGAUAUUAAAAAUAUGGAAAUAAUAAUCUAAGAAUCCAAAGACUUAAUAAAACUAAUUAGCUAUUUAAAAAAAUAAAUAGUUAAUUAGAAAUAUAA